rnacentral:rRNA from 1 species
GAUGAACGCUAGCGAUAGGCUUAACACAUGCAAGUCGAGGGGCAGCAUGGUCUUAGCUUGCUAAGACUGAUGGCGACCGGCGCACGGGUGCGUAACGCGUAUGCAACUUGCCUCACAGAGGGGGAUAACCCGUCGAAAGACGGACUAAUACCGCGUACACUCCAUCUUGGGCAUCCAAGGUAGAGGAAAUGAAAUUCGCUGUGAGAUAGGCAUGCGUCCCAUUAGCUAGUUGGUGAGGUAACGGCUCACCAAGGCGACGAUGGGUAGGGGAACUGAGAGGUUGAACCCCCACACUGGUACUGAGACACGGACCAGACUCCUACGGGAGGCAGCAGUGAGGAAUAUUGGUCAAUGGACGAGAGCCUGAACCAGCCAAGUCGCGUGAAGGAUGACUGUCUUAUGGAUGGUAAACUUCUUUUAGACGGGAAUAACAAGAGUCACGUGUGACUCCCUGCAUGUACCGUAUGAAUAAGCAUCGGCUAACUCCGUG